AUUGAACGCUGGCGGCAGGCCUAACACAUGCAAGUCGAGCGGAUGAAGGGAGCUUGCUCCUGGAUUCAGCGGCGGACGGGUGAGUAAUGCCUAGGAAUCUGCCUGGUAGUGGGGGAUAACGUCCGGAAACGGGCGCUAAUACCGCAUACGUCCUGAGGGAGAAAGUGGGGGAUCUUCGGACCUCACGCUAUCAGAUGAGCCUAGGUCGGAUUAGCUAGUUGGUGGGGUAAAGGCCUACCAAGGCGACGAUCCGUAACUGGUCUGAGAGGAUGAUCAGUCACACUGGAACUGAGACACAGUCCAGACUCCUACGGGAGGCAGCAGUGGAGAAUAUUGGACGAUGGGCGAAAGCCUGAUCCAGCCAUACCGCGUGUGUGAAGAAGGUCUUCGGAUUGUAAAGCACUUUAAGUUGGGAGGAAGGGCAGUAAGUUAAUACCUUGCUGUUUUGACGUUACCAACAGAAUAAGCACCGGCUAACUUCGUG
rnacentral:rRNA from 1 species